rnacentral:tRNA from 1 species
GGCCUAGUAGCUCAGUUGAAUAGAGCGUUGGCUUUACUAAAGCCUUCUCCUUGCUGAAGUGGGUUCGAAUCCCACUGAGGCCG